rnacentral:rRNA from 1 species
CCUACGGGUGGCAGCAGUGGGGAAUAUUGCACAAUGGGCGCAAGCCUGAUGCAGCCAUGCCGCGUGUGUGAAGAAGGCCUUCGGGUUGUAAAGCUCUUUUAGCGGGGAGGAAGGCGAUAAGGGUAAUAACCUUGGCGAUUGACGUUACCAGAAGAAGAAGCAACGGCUAACUCCGUGCCAGCAGCCGCGGUAAUACGGGGGGUGCAAGCGUUACUCGGAAUUACUGGGCGUAAAGCGCACGCAGGCGGUCUGUCAAGUCGGAUGUGAAAUCCCCGGGCUCAACCUGGGAACUGCAUUCGAUACUGGCAGGCUUGAGUCCUGAAGAGGGGAGGAGAAUUCCAGGUGUAGCGGUGAAAUGCGUAGAGAUCUGGAGGAAUACCGGUUGCGAAGGCGACCCCCUGGACAAAGACUGACGCUCAGGUGCGAAAGCGUGGGGAGCAAACAGGAUUAGAUACCCUGGUAGUC